CUGAAAUCUCCAAAAUCAAAUUCAAAUCGAAGAUCACUUCUCCUAAAAUCUUUGAUGUAGGGUUUCAUAAACCAUCAAUAAUAGUGUUCUCAGUCAUCUUCUCCUUUCAUCGUCCUCCCUCCGGUUCCAUUUAAACAAGUUUCUGUGGCUUACUUGUUGUCUUGCUUUCUUACGGUUAGCUGAUAUUUCGUGAGAAUCCAUUUACACCGGUAUUACAUCACUGGAUGCAUGUGGAUCAUCAAAUGACGAUCGAGAGUGAUUAGUGGAACUGGGAUCACAACUUGGUGCAGAUGUGUUGACGUGAUGUUGCUGCUGGUAAUGGGUUCCUGAUCCCUAAUGAUAAUCACAGAGUUCUGGAGUUAAGAUUCCAAAGUUCGAUAGAAGAGCAAUUGCGACCAAGUGUUUCGAAGCUUUGGAGUUCAGAGUUAGAAGAAUAAC